GGCGGCGAGGUCGUGGACGACGCGCUCGUCCGCGUCGAGCAGCGUCGCGUAGACGCGCGCGUCCUGGUGGAUCGUCACCGCCGCGCCGCUUCC
rnacentral:tRNA from 1 species